rnacentral:rRNA from 1 species
AGCAAUACCGCGUGAGGGAUGACGGCCUAUGGGUUGUAAACCUCUUUUUUCAGGGAGGAAAAAAAUGACGUUACCUGAAGAAUAAGCAUCGGYUAACUCCGUGCCAGCAGCCGCGGUAAGACGGAGGAUGCAAGUGUUAUCCGGAAUCACUGGGCGUAAAGCGUCUGUAGGUGGUUUAAUAAGUCAACUGUUAAAUCUUGAGGCUCAACCUCAAAACCGCAGUCGAAACUAUUAGACUAGAGUAUAGUAGGGGUAAAGGGAAUUUCCAGUGGAGCGGUGAAAUGCGUAGAGAUUGGAAAGAACACCGAUGGCGAAGGCACUUUACUGGGCUAUUACUAACACUGAGAGACGAAAGCUAGGGUAGCAGAUGGGAUUAGAUACCCUGGUAGUCCACGCUGUAAACGAUGGGCACUAGGUGUCGGCGGUAUUAAUCCCGUCGGUGCUGGCGCUAACGCAGUAAGUGCCCCGCCUGGGGAGUACGGUCGCAAGGCUGAAACUCAAAGAAAUUGACGGGGGCCCGCACAAGCGGUGGAGCAUGUGGUUUAAUUCGACGCAACGCGAAGAACCUUACCUGGGCUUGACAUGCACUGGACCGGCAGUGAAAGCUGUCUUCUCUUCGGAGCUGGUGCACAGGUGCUGCAUGGCUGUCGUCAGCUCGUGUCGUGAGAUGUUGGGUUAAGUCCCGCAACGAGCGCAACCCUCGCCCUCUGUUGCUAACGG